rnacentral:rRNA from 1 species
GAUGAACGCUGGCGGCGUGCCAAAUACAUGCAAGUCGAGCGAACAGAUGAGAAGCUUGCUUCUCUGAUGUUAGCGGCGGACGGGUGAGUAACACGUGGGUAACCUACCUAUAAGACUGGGAUAACUCCGGGAAACCGGGGCUAAUACCUGAUAAUAUUUUGAACCGCAUGGUUCAAUAGUGAAAGGCGGCUUCGGCUGUCACUUAUAGAUGGACCCGCGCCGUAUUAGCUAGUUGGUAAGGUAAUGGCUUACCAAGGCGACGAUACGUAGCCGACCUGAGAGGGUGAUCGGCCACACUGGAACUGAGACACGGUCCAGACUCCUACGGGAGGCAGCAGUAGGGAAUCUUCCGCAAUGGGCGAAAGCCUGACGGAGCAACGCCGCGUGAGUGAUGAAGGUUUUCGGAUCGUAAAACUCUGUUGUUAGGGAAGAACAAAUUUGUUAGUAACUGAACAAGUCUUGACGGUACCUAACCAGAAAGCCACGGCUAACUACGUGCCAGCCGCCGCGGUAA